AAAAUAAAAAAGUUUAAAAAUUACAAAAAAGUGUUUAAAAAAAACCACUCACCUAAAAUGUCCAAGUUGGAUGACUUUGCAGCCUUCUACUUUUCGUUGCCUGGUGAAGUCAGCCUGUGACAGCAGAGCUGGGCCAACACGUGGACCUAAGACAAAAAUGAGAUUGGUGAGUCUCAAGUCCACUUCUUGUGCAGCAAAUGCAAUUUGAAAUGUGAUCAAACUAACCAGCACAGAAGUUGUCUGGGACUCUGAACAAGUGCUCGCACGGCCACAUCACGCUCAGCUCCUGCGCAACAAACAAUAUGGGGUCAAAGAAGGGAUUGAGAAAACUGUCAAGCAUUCAAAACUUACUGCCCAUUGUAUAACCUCUUCUAGCUGAAUGCAUCAAGCCAAGAGUUGGACGACAGUCGCCGCCUGGUGAAGUGGACAGAGGAAAAAGGAUUUUAGCGCAUUUCUGGUACAGCAAAUUUUAGACAAGAAGAAACCCACCAGUGAGGAAGAGGACCUGGGACUUCUUGGGCAGUCAUCGGACCUUGAAGAAAAACCGCCAAGCUGCAGCGCUUGCGCAUGUAUGCACCAGUGCAACUUUUCUUGUUGGCAGGCUGCUCCAAAGUUGGCUUCAGACCCUUCUGGACGUCGUUCUCCAGCUGACCAAACAGAAGCAGAGUUCCUUGUCAAGUUGCAGACCGCAAGGAAGGAGAGGAACCAGGGUGCACUUCAGCCCACCUAAUCCAGGAAGACCCUUUCCCCAGGCAGCGUGACGUCACUUCUGGAAAACAGCAAGACACCAAUCAAGAAAUUCACCAAACGGGGUUUUGAUGGAAACCAUUUGAGAUGAAACCCACUGACACGAGCGCGGAAUUCUCCCAAAGUUUGCCAAUGUCUGUAUGUGGUCCUCCGGCUGAGGAAGAGAAAGUUGAUGACGUUUGGUUUCACAGGCUAGCAUGUAGUGGACCAAUGUCUGAAUGACCAUCUGAAGAAAGGGGAGAAGAGAAAAAAAAAAUUCAGUUGACUGUCGGUUGGAAUCUUCUGGAGCAGCCGCUGGAUGACAAACAGUUGCCAGUUCUGCAAAGAGACGAAAUGAGCAGAGUCUCAUACAAAUCCU